GAUGAACGCUAGCGGCAGGCUUAACACAUGCAAGUCGAGGGGUAGUAUAGCAAUAUAUGAGACCGGCGCACGGGUGCGUAACGCGUAUGCAACCUACCUUGAACAGGGGGAUAGCCCAGAGAAAUUUGGAUUAAUACCCCAUGGUAUUAUUGGAUGGCAUCAUUUGAUAGUUAAAGUUCCAACGGUUCAAGAUAGGCAUG
rnacentral:rRNA from 1 species